rnacentral:rRNA from 1 species
CCCCCCCCCCCCAACUAAAUAAGUGGGCCCGAAAGCAGCCACCUUUAAGAAAGCGUUAUAGCUCUAUUUACCAUAAAAAUUAAUUCCUACCCACACAUUAAACCCUUCAACCCUACUGAAUGAUCCUAUAAAAUAUAGGAACCCCAAUGCUAAAACUAGUAACAAGAAGUCGAACUUCUCCAAAAUACAAGCAUAAAUCAAAACGGACAAACCAUUGAUAAUUAACAUUUCCCUGACUUAAAUAUAGUAACAAAACAAGAAAACCCUACAAACCCUAAUGUUAACCUUACACAAGUGUAUUUCUGGAAAGAUUAAAAAAAAGGGAAGGAACUCGGCAAAUAGUAACCCCGCCUGUUUACCAAAAACACCGCCUCUUGACUCUUAUAAGAGGUCCAGCCUGCCCAGUGACAUAAUUAAACGGCCGCGGUACCCUGACCGUGCGAAGGUAGCAUAAUCACUUGUUCUCUAAAUAAGGACUUGUAUCAACGGCAUCACGAGGGUUAUACUGUCUCCCCUUUUUAAUCAGUGAAACUGACUUUCCCGUGAAGAGGCGGGAAUAAAAAUACAAGACGAGAAGACCCCAUGGAGCUUUAAACCCAAUAGUAACUUCUAUUCCAAUUACUUCUUAAUCAAGAAGGCCUAUCUAUUGGUUUUAGGUUGGGGUGACCCUGGAGUAUAACUAAACCUCCAUGACGAAUAGACCCUAUUCUAAUCUAAGAGCAACUGCUCUACGAAUCAAAAUUUUGACGUAAACUGAUCCGCUUAGCGAUCAACGAACCAAGUUACCCUGGGGAUAACAGCGCAAUCCAUUUCAAGAGCUCCUAUCGACAAAUGGGUUUACGACCUCGAUGUUGGAUCAGGGUAUCCCAGUGGUGCAGC